rnacentral:rRNA from 1 species
GGUGAACGCUGGCGGCGUGCUUAACACAUGCAAGUCGAACGAAGCGCUUAAACGGAUUUCUUCGGAAUGAAGUUUUUGCGACUGAGUGGCGGACGGGUGAGUAACGCGUGGGUAACCUGCCUCAUACAGGGGGAUAACAGUUAGAAAUGGCUGCUAAUACUGGAUAUUCACACAUUGUCGCAUGGUGGUGUGUGGAAAGGGUUUUCUGGUGGGGGAUGGGCUCGCGGCCUAUCAGCUUGUUGGUGGGGUGACGGCUUACCAAGGCUUUGACGGGUAACCGGCCUGAGAGGGUGACCGGUCACAUUGGGACUGAGAUACGGCCCAG